AUUGAACGCUGGCGGCAGGCUUAACACAUGCAAGUCGAGCGGUAGCACAGGGGAGCUUGCUCCCUGGGUGACGAGCGGCGGACGGGUGCGUAAUGUCUGGGAAACUGCCUGAUGGAGGGGGAUAACUACUGGAAACGGUAGCUAAUACCGCAUAACGUCGCAAGACCAAAGAGGGGGACCUUCGGGCCUCUUGCCAUCAGAUGUGCCCAGAUGGUAUUAUCUCGUAGGUGGGGUAAUGGUUCACCUAGGCGACGACCCCUAGCUGGUCUGAGAGGAUGACCAGCCACACUGGAACUGAGACACGGUACAGACGCCUACGGGAGGCAGCGGUGGGGAAUAUUGCACAAUGGGCGCAAGCCUGAUGCAGCCAUGCCGAGUGUGUGAAGAAGGCCUUCGGGUUGUAAAGCACUUCCAGCGAGGAGGAAGGUGGUGAGCUUAAUACGUUCAUCAAUUGACGUUACUCGAAGAAGAAGCACCGGCUAACUCCGUG
rnacentral:rRNA from 1 species